GGAGCCUCUGCUGUGCGAUCGCAGGUAGUCACUGCUGAGGUAGAAACUAUCGUCCAUGUUGUCCUCUGUCCCCUCACACUCCUCUCCCUCACCCUCUCUCUCAAUUCUGUGAUCCAUGCUGAUUCAAUAACAAAGAUAAGUAGUGCAGUGUACCUGCUGUGCUAUGAAGCAUGGAAGAUUUUAAGUCCAAUGAGGCGGAAGGAAACUGGCCAGGACCAGUUCGCUGCCAGCAGGUAUAAGGGAGCAUGGCAGAUUGAGUGGCAGGGUUUCCCCGGUACUGUCUUCCUUCUGAUACAGCUCUCUGUUCCUAACGGCCGCGCUCCUGGGAAAAGACACAGGACGUGCUGGGGAGACUCUCCACAAGUGUACAUAUCUGUCCCGUAACCUAAAGCUGGCUUAGGACGGUCAUCGCCGACACUGUUGUGUUACAGUACGUAGUUCUGUACUGAGUAGCCUGCUGCUCGGUUUGCUCUAUGAAUGUGGAAGAAGAAUGCUUUUGAAAAUGUAUUCUGCAACAGUUUAAGGCUAAACUGAUCUGAAAAGAAAAGAGUAUCAUGUUAUAUGAAAUACAUGCUUGUGUUUGUAGUAUCUCCUAAGAAUACCCUAAAAUUAUGAUUGUUACUGUAUUGUUAUCUUUUUUUUUUUUACAUACUAGCUCUAAAUUAUUGCAUUUUUUGGUUUAAUUUUCUUUUUUGGUGUUAGAGAACAAUAGUGUUUCUUCUCUCUCUCUCUCUCUCUCUCUCUCUCUCUCUCUCUGUCUCUCUUUCUCUCUCUCUGUGCAUGUGUCUCUCCCUUCCUCUCUCCUUCCUUCCCUCCCUCUCCCCUCCUCCUCCUCUCACUACUCUUUCUACUUUGGUUUCCAGUAAUAAAAGAUAAAGUUGAGGAAGCAGAACUCUAUAACCCAACAAUGUUUAUAAUCUCAUUGACAAAUAUUAUGUGCCAAAUAAUUAGAGCAUUUAAAAAGUAGAUGUGAUACUGUUUCUUUUAGUAUAUCGUUUAUCAUUUUCUGUUUCAUGCUGUGGGCAUCUACAGCACAAGUCUUCAAUAUUUAUUUGUAGACAAUAGGUGGCAUUUGCAAAGGUAAAUUAUUAUGAUGUAGUUUGAUUUGUUCUUUUCUUUUGACUUCUUUGUGGCCAUUUGGAAUCUAGAGAUUGUCAAGGAAAGGCUGUAGAUAAUAGUGAGCAGUAGGAAGAUUGCAGAGAGACUCAUGAAGAGACUAAAGAGACUGCCUGAGUAGAUCUUUACCCAUUUUGCUAAGUUACAAAAUGCAUUGCCCCGGGUUUCCAUAAUUAAAGCGAUAAUUCACUGAGUUGCUUGUUCUUGGUUUCAGCAUAUGCUACAAUGUUGCUAUUGUUCAUUAACACCUGUAACAGAGUAACACACUUGGUGUUAUGGGCCACACAUGCUACAUUUAUGUCUUGGAUUUGAUGGCCUUUCUCUUUUUAAGAAAGCCGGUUACUUACAAUUUUGAGCAUUAUCUUUCUGAUUGCAUUUUAGCAUUAUAAUAUUAAAGUAAAAAAAA
rnacentral:lncRNA from 1 species